ensembl:lncRNA
AGUACUUUUGUUUAUUUAAAAUCUAUGACUACCUCCACCAUUGUUGAAGAAAUUCUAUACCUUGUGUUGUAUUUCUUUUUGGUGUUUUUGCUCCCAUACCAAUGAUUAAAAGAAUAUUGUCACAGUCCUGGGUCGGUGACCCACUGUAUUGUGUUCUGUGUUAUUAUUAAUAUUUGAGUUCAUCAUGGUUUAUCAUUACUAGUCUUUUGGCUUAUAGUUCUGUAUUUCUCUCAUUCUUCUUUGCUUUGUGAUUUAUAGUUCUUGGGUUUUGUUCCUUUGCCCCUCAUGUAGGUUUAGUUAGUAUAGGUUUAGUUCUGUCUUCAUGUUUAUUUUCUUGCUGCACCAGUCAGUCGUGUCUCAUGUCGUAAUUUGUUACUCCUGUCCCUGUGCUCCGUGUUCCCUCUGUUCAGUGUCUCGUCAGCGCCUGUCGUGUGUUUCCUGUUUUAUUUUGAUAGGCCCUGUCCUGUAUGCAGUGUGUCUGGUUGUGCUUCCCCUUGUCUCUUUAGGUCUGAUUUGUCCCAGCUGUGUUACCGCCUGUUCCCCAUCCUCUUGUUGUCCUGCUUGUGUAUUUAAACACUGUGUUUCUCUCUGUUAGUUGUAGUUGUUUCUCUCCGUGCUGUGCUUUCACCCUUCGUGGUCCUGGCUUAAUUCUAGUUCAAAGUUCCUGUUCUGGUUUGUUUUCCUUGUGUUUCUUAGUUGUUAGCUUCUAGUUUUCAUUUUUGAGGUUUUGGUUUUGUUUGUUUUUUUGUGUUUUUUUUUAUCAACUUUGUUUCUUAUAAAAAAUCUUCCCAGCAAUAAAAACGGUCGCUUUAAGUUUCAUUCCACAUAGGUAUGUCUACAGAUUCAUACCGGUCAAAUGACUGGUGGAAGUAUUGUUGAGACUUGCUAUUCACUUUGUAUCUGGAUGCAUCUGUACAUCCAGAGAGUUUCUUUAGGACAAUACAUAUUAAUCCUCUCUAUUUUGCAUUAUAAGGAGCAUAUAAGAUGAUGCACAGUUUUGGGGGACUUAUAAAUAGCUAGCAUAACCGUUUCUACGGGUUCCCAUAUUCUAAAUCGUUAUUCAUUUAUUUGCGGCUUUAUAGCACUUUGGUGCAAUAAAGCGUAUUGAAAAAAUUCACUUACAGACUUGAACUUUUUACCCACUGUGCAGUAACAUUUAAACUACUGUGUGAAUUAUGGAAUAUUAGAUGAAAAGUCUAACCUUCUGAAUAUUUAAUUACACUAUGGCAAGAGAGUCUGCUCUGCACUUUAACAAUAUGCCAUGGCCUUAUGUAAUUUUGAUUGCUUGAUUACUUCUGUAACUCCGCUGGGCCACCUGUUGCUGACAAAUCUUUGAGCCCUCCAGUAACAGCCACCUGUAUCUCAGUCUGAUUUGCAGUAAUAUGGGAACAAUUUCAUUUUAG